rnacentral:rRNA from 1 species
UGCGUCGGGUGCGAGCGUUAAUCGGAAUUACUGGGCGUAAAGCGUGCGCAGGCGGUUUCUGAAGGCCGUUGUGAAAGCCCCGGGCUUAACCUGGGAAUGGCAGUGGAAACUAGGAGACUUGAAUCUGGCAGAGGGGGGUGGAAUGCCACGUGUAGCAGUGAAAUGCGUAGAGAUGUGGCGGAACACCGAUGGCGAAGGCAGCCCCCUGGGUCAAGAUUGACGCUCAGGCACGAAAGCGUGGGGAGCAAACAGG